CCGCGCCGCGCAUCGCUCCCCCUCGCGACGCGGCCCCCACACACACACUCCCCCCUCUCCCCCGCGCCCCUCCCUCGCCACGCCCCCCGCGCGCCACGCCCACACGUGACGCUAAGAGGGGAGGGGCCGCGCUGCGCACGGCACGCACGUGACCCGCGGCGGGACUAUAUAAAGGGCGCGCAGGGCCUCCGCCGGCCUUUUCGGUCCGCCAUGGUGGUUGGGGCGCAGCGGGCGGCGAGGCCCGGGAGUUUAAGAUGCAUCAACUGCACUUCCCUCUUACGGCUUCAAACCAGAUCUGCCACUGAAUAUGAGGACUUGAUGCUACUUCACAAGGCUUUGAAUUGUGUGCUUGGAAGACUUGGACAAGAAACAUGA
rnacentral:lncRNA from 1 species